rnacentral:tRNA from 1 species
ACGCUAUUAGCAUAAAUGGAGAAUGCGCACGGCUACGGACCAUGACAAUAGGGGUUCGAAUCCUCUAUAGCGUACCA